GGAUAGAGGACAAAGAUGAGAUGAAUUGAUGUGCAUCAUAAAUAAGGGUGAUAUGAAAUCACUUCAUUCAGUCCGUUGGAGGAAACAGUGUUGAGCUCGUAGAUCCAGAAUGUCUCUUUCCUUAAUAACAAAUUAUCCCGGUCCCCGACACAUUGUGGUUGUGGUAUGUGAUAUAUUGCCACAAAUGUAAGAGUUGCAAGAGGAUGUUUCUUCUCCAAAAAAUGUUUAGCGACCGGUUUAUCAGAGGAGCCAUCUCGGUAUGCUGUUCUGAUGUUAGAUCUGUGACCCCUGAUAUGAUCGCAAAGGGGAGUGAUGGUUUUACCAAUAUAAGCAAGUCCGCAUGGGCAAGAUAUCUUAUAAAUGACGUGUGUUGUCUUGCAGGUAAUAGUGUGACGGAUAUUAUAUCGUUUGUUGUUGUGAGGAUGGUUGAAUGUACGUGACGGGGCCAUGUGGCCGCAAGUGACACAACUAAGACAUCUCACGCUACCCCUGACUUGUUUAGUCAAUUUGGGUUGAUAGCAUAUCACUGGGUCUGUCUUAACCAGCAUGUCACGCAAAUUUUUGUUACGUCUAUGGCAUGUCAUAGGUGGCUCCUUGAACACUUUGGGUAAUGUGUUGUCAGUAGACACCAUUUUCCAAUUGUUUUUGACAAUGUUGGAAAUCAGUGGAGAUUUGUUUGAUGGGUCAUAGGGAAUACCAUCCUGGGGGUCAUAGAAGGACUUUUUGGGGUGUGUGCAUUCUUUGCCUUCUGUAACGCUGCUGAUAAAAUUUGUCUACUAUACCUCCGUUGAAGAAAUUUGUUGGUCAUAUCAGUGAUUUGGAUUUGCCUGAGCUGGUCCUUGGAGUUAUUGCGAAUGACUCGACAGUAUUGAGCACAAGGGAUAGAUUUGAUCAAGGACGUUGGAUGGGAACUUUCGUGAUGUAAAAUGGUAUUACGAUCAGUGGGUUUAGAAUAUAGGCUGUAUACCACUUUAUUAUCCAAGAUCUUGAGUUCCAAAUCUAAGAAGUGAACUGUCUCUCACUGCUGAUGUUUGCUGUCAUCCGUACUGGAGAUGCAAGACCUUUGGGGUGUUCAACCAUUGUAUAGGCUUGUUGUUCAUUUCCAUGCCAUAUAAUGAACAAGUCGUCAAUGUAACGAAAGUAACUGGUUAUAAAUUGUUGGAAUAAAGAAAAAAUAUUGUUCAUCUCAUAUAUGUACAUAAAGGCAUUGGCGUACAUGGGUGCCAUUGCAGCACCCAUGGACGUGCCAGUCAGUUGCAAGUACCAGGUAUGUUCAAACCUAAAGUAGUUGUGCUUCAACGUGAAUUCCAACACGUAUUUGAUGGGAGGGCUUUGAUAUACAGUAGAUUGUGAGAGGACCUGUCUCAUAGCCUCUAUAUCAACAUCAUGCAGGAUGAUGGUAUAGAGGCUACUGACGUCCAUGGUAAUGAGUACUGGCAGUGAAUAUUCAAUGUGUAAAGAUUGUAACUUAGACAGCAGAGUGGGGGUAUCCUUUACACAUGUAUGUAAAGUCUCGACUGUAUGCUUGAAUAAUAAAUCCAGCCAUUUUGCCACUGGCUCAAGGACGCCUCCGAUUGCCGACACAAUAGGACGUCCAGGUGGAUUGGAGGCAUUUUUGUGUAAUUUAGAAAUAGAAUACAUAAUCGGCGUGCGUGGAUUUACUUGAGUGAGGUAUAAGUAUGUAUCUUGGUCGAUGUAAUUCGCCCUUAGGCCCAUGGUGAGGAUAGAAUACAAUUGUUGCUGAAUUUGCACCGUAGGAUCCCCUGGCAAGACCUGGUAAGUGUUAGUGUCAUUCAGUUGACCUCUGUCAUUUGCAUAUUGUUGGUAGUCCAUUAUGACGAUACCGCCCCCCUUAUCGGCAGGGCGUAUCACUAUCUUAGGGUCUUUGGCUAGGUUGUCUAUUAGAAAACGUUGUUUCUUCGUGAUGUUAUGCCGUCUAUGGUUAGGUUGUUGUAUGGCUGUAGUAGUUUCUUGUAAGGUGGUAGAAAGAAAUGUUUUAAUGCUGGCUUUAUUUGUUUGAGGAUCGAAUUUGGGUUUAAAUUGUUUGAAGCUAGUAUGCUGUUCAAGAGUGUUUGAGUUAGCCUUAUUGAAGAAUUCACGUAACCGCAUGGUUCUUCCAAAAUUGAAUAGUUCUACAUUCCAUAAAAAAAUUAUUAGGAAAAGCUGUAGGAACAAAGGAGAGUCCUAAAGAAAGUAUCUUUAAUUCUUUUGGAACUAAUUUGCGUUGUGACAAGUUGAACACUGGAAUCAGCGUUUGAGUGGUGGUU